rnacentral:rRNA from 1 species
GUGUCAGCCGCCGCGGUAAUACAGAGGGUGCGAGCGUUAAUCGGAAUUACUGGGCGUAAAGCGCGCGUAGGCGGCUUUGCAAGCCGGAUGUGAAAUCCCCGGGCUUAACCUGGGAACUGCAUUCGGGACUGCAUUGCUAGAGUAUGGGAGAGGGAAGUGGAAUUUCAGGUGUAGCGGUGAAAUGCGUAGAUAUCUGAAGGAACAUCAGUGGCGAAAGCGACUUCCUGGACCAAUACUGACGCUCAUGUGCGAAAGCGUGGGGAGCAAACAGGAUUAGAUACCCUAGUAGUCC